UACGGAGGGUGCAAGCGUUAUCCGGAUUUACUGGGUUUAAAGGGUGCGUAGGUGGGUAAGUAAGUCAGUGGUGAAAUCUUCAAGCUUAACUUGGAAACUGCCAUUGAUACUAUUUAUCUUGAAUUAUCUGGAGGUAAGCGGAAUAUGUCAUGUAGCGGUGAAAUGCUUAGAUAUGACAUAGAACACCCAUUGCGAAGGCAGCUUACUACGGAUAUAUUGACACUGAGGCACGAAAGCGUGGGGAUCAAACAGG
rnacentral:rRNA from 1 species